rnacentral:rRNA from 1 species
CCCUACGGGGGGCAGCAGUGGGGAAUAUUGCGCAAUGGCCGCAAGGCUGACGCAGCGACGCCGCGUGGGGGAUGAAGCAUUUCGGUGUGUAAACCCCUGUUGCUCGGGACGAACAAGCCUUUUCGAGGGCUCUGACGGUACCGAGUGAGGAAGCACCGGCUAACUCCGUGCCAGCAGCCGCGGUAAUACGGAGGGUGCGAGCGUUGUCCGGAAUCACUGGGCGUAAAGGGCGCGUAGGUGGUCUGCUAAGCGUGCGGUGAAAGCCUGGGGCUCAACCCCAGGUCUGCCGUGCGAACUGGUGGACUUGAGCACUGUAGAGGCAGGUGGAAUUCCGGGUGUAGCGGUGGAAUGCGUAGAGAUCCGGAAGAACACCGGUGGCGAAGGCGGCCUGCUGGGCAGUAGCUGACACUGAGGCGCGACAGCGUGGGGAGCAAACAGGAUUAGAUACCCCGGUAGUCCG